CCUUUCUGAGUUGAUCCUGGCUCAGGACGAACGCUGGCGGCGUGCUUACACAUGCAAGUCGAACGAUGAAGCCCUUCGGGGUGGAUUAGUGGCGGACGGGUGAGUAACACGUGGCAAUCUGCCCUUCACUCUGGGACAACCCUGGAACGGGGUCUAAUACCGGAUAACACCGGCUUCCGCAUGGGAGCUGGUUGAAAGCUCCGGCGGUGAAGGAUGAGCCCGCGGCCUAUCAGCUUGUUGGUGGGGUAAUGGCCUACCAAGCGACGACGGGUAGCCGGCCUGAGAGGGCGACCGGCCACACUGGGACUGAGACACGGCCCAGACUCCUACGGGAGGCAGCAGUGGGGAAUAUUGCACAAUGGGAGAAGCCUGAUGCAGCGACGCCGCGUGAGGGAUGACGGCCUUCGGGUUGUAAACCUCUUUCAGCAGGGAAGAAGCGAAAGUGACGGUACCUGCAGAAGACCUUUAAAGGGUAACUACGUGCCAGCAGCCGCGGUAAUACGUAGGGCGCAAGCGUCGUCCGGAAUUAUUGGGCGUAAAGAGCUCGUAGGCGGCUUGUCACGUCGGGUGUGAAAGCCCGGGGCUUAACCCGGGUCUGCAUCCGAUACGGGCAGGCUAGAGUGUGGUAGGGAGAUCGGAAUUCCUGGUGUAGCGGUGAAGUGCGCAGAUAUCAGGAGGAACACCGGUGGCGAAGGCGGAUCUCUGGGCCAUUACUGACGCUGAGGAGCGAAGCGUGGGGAGCGAACAGGAUUAGAUACCCUGGUAGUCCACGCCGUAAACGUUGGGAACUAGGUGUUGGCGACAUUCCACGUCGUCGGUGCCGCAGCUAACGCAUUAAGUUCCCGCCUGGGGAGUACGGCCGCAAGGCAAAAACUCAAAGGAAUUGACGGGGGCCCGCACAAGCAGCGGAGCAUGUGGCUUAAUUCGACGCAACGCGAAGACCUUACCAAGGCUUGACAUAUACCGGAAAGCAUCAGAGAUGGUGCCCCCUUGUGGUCGGUAUACAGGUGGUGCAUCGCUGUCGUCAGCUCGUGUCGUGAGAUGUUGGGUUAAGUCCCGCAACGAGCGCAACCCUUGUCUGUGUUGCCAGCAUGCCCUUCGGGGUGAUGGGGACUCACAGGAGACCGCCGGGGUCAACUCGGAGGAAGGUGGGGACGACGUCAAGUCAUCAUGCCCCUUAUGUCUGGGCUGCACACGUGCUACAAUGGCCGGUUCAAAGAGCUGCGAUUCCGCGAGGCGGAGCGAAUCUCAAAAAGCCGGUCUCAGUUCGGAUUGGGGUCUGCACUCGACCCCAUGAAGUCGGAGUUGCUAGUAAUCGCAGAUCAGCAUUGCUGCGGUGAUACGUUCCGGGGCCUUGUACACACCGCCCGUCACGUCACGAAAGUCGGUAACACCCGAAGCCGGUGGCCAACGCCUUGUGGGAGGGAGCUGUCGAAGGUGUGACUGGCGAUUGGACGAAGUCGUAACAGGUAGCCGUACCGCG
rnacentral:rRNA from 1 species